UACGGAGGGUGCGAGCGUUGUCCGGAAUCAUUGGGCGUAAAGGGCGCGUAGGUGGCGGGACAAGCGUGCGGUGAAAGCUCGGGGCUCAACCCCGCGUCGGCCGUGCGAACUGUUUUGCUGGAGCACUGUAGAGGCAGGCGGAAUUCCGGGUGUAGCGGUGGAAUGCGUAGAGAUCCGGAAGAACACCGGUGGCGAAGGCGGCCUGCUGGGCAGUUGCUGACACUGAGGCGCGAAAGCGUGGGGAGCAAACAGG
rnacentral:rRNA from 1 species